UCAGACAAAAGAAUGGGGAAAAUAAUAGAUUAGAAGCACAAGUCGUAGAAAUUGAAUUGAGAAGUAAUCCAUAUGGAACUUGCAACGCUUCUGUUUGUGUCAAGGGUCCUGGGUGCAUGAACAACUCAAAUCCCUCCAACCAUUUGAUAACUCAGACACAAAACCUACGAGCAUCGCCGAUUCGGCGAAAUCUGGAGCUUAUAGGAAGUUGAGGCAUAAUGAAUCAUAGUUAAAGCAGCUGCUGCAUGGUAGCUGGGCUUUUUGUUUCUCCUUCUGUCCGAGAGGGUUCUGCGUUCAGCGUUUUCUUUAGUGAACAUGUCCAUCUUGUGUUUUGCACCCCAGAAAAUGACAUUGGCAGACAAGUUUUACCAAGCCAAACGAAACAAUAUAGGAACCGGUUAAGAGUAAGGGCGACAUAUGUCCAUUAGGAAAAAAACAAAGUCUUCCCACAUUCUUAAAAAGCAAGAGGAAAAUUCCAAGGGCAAACUGUACCAAUUCCUAGAAACAAAACAUAUAAAAGAUGACAUCAAAUUUCGCAAAUUUGCAUUUGAAGAGAGAGAGAGAGAGAGAGAGAGCAUUAGCACAACACAACACGGCCAACCAACAUGCACAGCCCCCAAGAAAACACAAGGAGCAUUUAGUGGACAGCCUGACCAGCAGUUUGAAUUAACAAGGUAAUGAAACAGUGUUUUCAGACCCCCAAAAAAAUCUACUUUGGCUCUUUUUUACUGCUUCAUCUUCCUGUUAAUUUCUGGCUUUUUGUUGGAAGGGAAGCAAAAAUGGAAAAAACACUUCUGGGUUCGCUUUCUCCAGAAAUGGGGUUUUUCCAAGAGAUAGGUGAAGAAGAAGAAGAAGCACAAAGUAGGCACUAACAAAGAAGAAGAACUGAGAGAGAGAGAGAGAGAGAGAGAGAGAGACCAACUUGAGCAUUUUGCAGAGCCUUUCAUAUGAAUUCACAAAUAGCUAACAAAGUAGAAAAGCAACAAAGAUGAGAGCAAAUUGGAAGCAGAGAAAUACAAGAUUGAGCCGUCCCGCCAAUAUCACCACCACCACCACCACCACCGUUAGAGGCUAAACAAGCAGGAGAACAGUGAUAAGCAAGUGACAAGAAUUGAACCUCGCAAAAGAGCCCAAAUCUGCCACACCUCACAUAAGCAAAAAGAGCAAUGCCAUUCUUCAGCUCGCCACCCAACACCACCACCGCCACCACCGCCAGAUGCACUCCCCACGCUCCACCGCCGUCGCCGCCGCCUUCGCCGUCGCUUCCACAGUCGCAGCAGCAGCAGCAGCAUGUGUUCACCCAUCAAUUGAGGCGAAAGGUGGAAUUUUUAAGCAGCGUUACCCCCAGAAAACAAGAUAGAACAGAGGCGGGUGGGGUGCUUGCGUGCCUGUCAGAAAGAGCACAAAUCAUGGAAGAGGGAAACAUGGGUUUUUCCGUUCUCGCAACGUUUCCUUCCCUUCUCUCAAGAAUUCCUCGUUUCCUGGGAGUACCAAGUCGUGUCUUCUUGUCCUGUCCUGAAAAGAAAUGGAGAAAAGGGCUGUUGGGAAAUGAUAAGAGAGGGAGGGAGGGAGGGGAGGUUGUGUGCUGCGCUGGGUUACAAGAAGCCGAGGACGUGAGAUUGCCUUGGCUUCGUGCGUGCACGGGAAGAGACCAUUUCUGCAACUGUACUCUCCCCCUUCUUCUCACACCAUAAUGAUGAGGCUUAAAAGUGACCUGAGCGAGAGUGAAAACGAAAUGGGUCUUGUGUGUUUUUCCUGAGGGAAGAGGGAAGGGGGUGGGGGUGUGUUUUCCUUUGAUAUGGAUUGUGAUUUGAUGUUUGGCUUUAAGCUCGGGCGAUUUCUGCUUGCCCCAGGAGGCCCAGGAUUAGCUAGAUUUGCGCAAGCAACCUCUGCUGCUGUCCUGUUUCCCUUGCCUGCCCUCAAACGUUCUCCUGAAUUACAUCCGUGUCCCUCCCUCUCUAUUGCCCCCUCUGAGAAAGAGAAACGAAAAAAAGCAGGGCUGUAACAUCACCACCACCGAAGAGAAAAGCGACGUCCAUGUCCUAAAACAUAUCGGUCAGUCAAAACGGGGUUCAGCUCUUUCUGAGGCUACUGUGAAUAUUUAAGUUUGAAAAUGGGGGAGAGAGAGAGAGAGAGAGAGAGAGAGAGAGAUGGAGACUGAGAGUUGCGACUAAACAGGGGCGCCACAGUCGAGGACCAUCGAGACGGACACCCGAGAACCAAAAGGACCCCGACUAGACAUUGAGUCCCCCUCCCCUUUUCCCACGGCCUAACAUUCGGUUUUGAUUGGUUCUAGGCCUUCUUCCACUGCACACUCGUUCAUGUCCAGGUCUAUUCCUAUUCUAUGUUUGCCUGCCCCCCCACCUCCUCCUCCUUGUGAACUCGAACCGCUGUUUUGCACUAUCGCACGUAUAGCUUCGCGCACUUCACUUCGUCAAUCACGACCCCCGACUUUCGAAAAAGGAUGAGAAAAGAGGGAAAGCUAACCGCAAGCAAGCAAAAAGGUGGAACUCCAAGUGGUCUCCCUCUCGCCCUGUUCCUUUCCUUUGUAAGAACCCCAAAAGGCCUUUGGAAUUAUCUCUAUUCAUAUGCAAUUACUAUUCGGCAGAACAUCGUAGGCUAGGGCAUGGAAGAUAAUUCACUCGUGAUUCGCUUAUUAUCAACGUCGAUGACAUGCUUUUUC
rnacentral:lncRNA from 1 species